GACGUCGAAUAUCGACGUCAUAAACACCAAAGUUGAUCGUGUUUAUGACGUCGAAUAUGGACGUGAUAAACACCAAUGUUGAUCGUGUUUAUGAAGUCGAAUAUCGACGUCAUAAACAGCAAAGUUGAUCGUGUUUAUCACGUUGACGUCAUAAACACCAAAGUUAAUCGUGUUUAUGACGUCGAAUAUCGACGUCAUAAACAUCUAAUUUGAUCCUGCUUAUGACGUCGAAUAUCGACGUCAUAAACACGAUUAACUUUGGUGUUGAUGACGUCGAAUAUCGACGUC